GGCUCGGUAGCUUAGUUGGUAAAGUACUCGUCUCUCAUACAAGAGUCGUAGGUUCGCAUCCCACCUGAGCAC
rnacentral:tRNA from 1 species